rnacentral:rRNA from 1 species
AUUGAACGCUGGCGGCAGGCCUAACACAUGCAAGUCGAGCGAGCGGCGGACGGGUGAGUAAUGUAUGGGGACUGCCCGAUCGAGGGGGAUAACUCCUGGAAACGGUAGCUAAUACCGCAUACUAUCGGAUAACCCAUAUGGGAUUAGCUCGUAAGUGAGGUAAUGGCUCCCCUAGGCGACGAUCCCUAGCUGGUCUGAGAGGAUGAUCAGAAACACUGGGACUGAGACACGGCCCAGAGUACCGGGGAAGCAGCAGUGGGGAAUAUUGCAAAAUGGGCGCAAGCCUGAUGCAGCCAUGCCGCGUGUAUGAAGAAGGCCCUAGGGUUGUAAAGUACUUUCAGGCGGGAGGAGUUACCGACAGAAGAAGCACCGGCGAACUCCGGGCCAGCCGCCGCGGUAAUAC